CUCAUUUGCAUGGAGGGAGCCUCCCCUCUCAGGGGAUGAAGAGGGAAGGACAGACCUGGGGAAGCUGCUUCAGCUGCGGGCACAGAAGGCAGCACUCGGGACAGUCCCCACCAUGGCCUGGGCCCCUCUGCUCCUCACCCUCCUGGCUCACUGCACAGGGUCCUGGGCCCAGUCUGUGCUGACUCAGCCUCCCUCGGUGUCUGGAGCCCCGGGGCAGACGGUCACCAUCUCCUGCACGGGCAGCAGCAGCAACAUCGGGGGUGGGUAUGAUGUGAACUGGUACCAGCAGCUCCCAGGAACGGCCCCCAAACUCCUCAUCUACUAUGAUAGCAACAGACCCUCGGGGGUCCCUGCCCGAUUCUCUGGCUCCAAGUCUGGCAGCUCGGCCUCCCUGACCGUCACGGGGCUCCAGGCUGAGGACGAGGCUGACUAUUACUGCCAGUCCUAUGACGACAGUCGUGAUGCUCGCACAGGGCUCCAGGCCCCCGGGGAAGAGGGUGAAUGCUGGCAGCUGCUGCUCAGGCCCAGCCUGUGGCUUCUGCUGCUGCUGCUGCCACCGUGGGCCCAGCUGCACCCACGGGCACCCCCUGGGAGUGGAGGCUCCUCUUCCUCUUCUGUCCUCAGAGACACUCACAGCAGCCCAGUGCUGGGAAAAGGGUCUCCAACAAACGGCAUGUCCUGA